UUUGACCUCUGAUCAGGUAGGGAUACC
rnacentral:rRNA from 1 species